ACCCAACAGUUCUUCAUGUGUGUGUUCCCGUCACAGUGUUUUCUGUUUGGUCCACAGGUGUGUGUGUUCCACGCGCUGGAGGACUGGGCAGGCCUGGGUCAGGUGGAGGACUAUCUGAGUGUUCUGGAGUACCUGCUGUGGGUGUUCACCCCUUUGGCCAUCGUCUUCAUCCUGCCCUUCCUCAUCGUCAUCCUCCUGUAUCUCUCCAUACUCUUCCUCCAUGUUUAUAAGAGGAAGAAUCAGCUGAGGGAGGCUUACAGCAACAACUUGUGGGACGGAGCCAGGAAGACCCUGGCUACUCUGUGGGACGGACACGGAGCCAUCUGGCAUGGCUACGAGAUCCAUGGACUGGAGAAGAUCCCAGACAAAGGACCAGCCCUGAUCGUGUACUACCAUGGAGCCAUCCCCAUAGACUACUAUUACUUUCUGGCCAACGUUAUCAUCCAAAAGGGCCGGACCUGUCACUCUGUAGCUGACCACUUCCUCUUCAAGAUCCCAGGUUUCAAGCUGCUGCUGGAGGUGUUCAGUGUGAUCCAUGGUCCUCAGGAGGAGUGUGUGAGGGCCCUGAAGAACGGUCACCUGUUGGGGAUCUCUCCAGGAGGAGUGCGGGAGGCUCUGUUCAGCGACGAGACGUACCCUCUGCUCUGGGGCAAACGGAGAGGCUUUGCACAGGUCGCCAUCGACUCUCAAGUGCCAGUAAUUCCAAUGUUUACGCAGAAUUUGCGGGAAGGCUUCAGAUCUCUGGGAACCCUCAGAUUCUAUCGCUGGGUGUAUGAAACGUUCCGUCUCCCUAUAGCUCCCAUUUAUGGAGGAUUUCCUGUCAAGUUUCGUACCUUCCUCGGCGAUCCCAUCCCGUAUGACCCCAACCUGAACGCUGCCGAGCUGGCGGAGAAGGUGCAGCAGGCGGUCCAGUCUCUGAUAGACCGGCACCAGCAGAUCCCAGGGAACAUCUUGCGAGCUUUGUUGGAGAGAUUUCACUCCAAACACAAAGAGCAAUAACAUCAGGUGAACACCAGAGACAGACUGUCCAGAGUGAGACCAAAACAACACGAUGGUCCGACGGCUUCAGUGUGCACAGAAUCUAGGUCCUAAUUGAUGCUUGACUGCAGCUGUGGAGGUUCUGAGGCUGCCACCCUUAGCUGCUGUUCAGACCGACCUGCACAGAAGAACUGACUUCAAAUGAAGACGUGAUGAUAACAAAAAACAAAUGUGCAGUCCAAGCAGAGAUUGCAAGAGAUAUUUCCCUAGAGUUGUUUCUGUGUGUCCUUAGAUAUGUGACUUAAACUCCAGAGUCAAAGUAAAGGCAGUCAUCUACAGCAGAAAGAGUGAUAGAAUCUGAACCCUCUUCUCUCUCUCUCUAAAGAAGACUGAUCUUUGUGAUUUAAGUCAGUGGAGUGCCCACAGCUCUUUUAACUCCUUGGAUGGCAGCAUGCAUGAGAAGUUUAUAACACUGUACCUCAGCUGAAGAUAAAGAUGUCAUGAUAAUAAAUCACAUCCUGAUCCUGGUGGGAUAAAAACACUAACAGCUAACCAACAGACGUUUCAUCAGGUCUGCAGAAUCCACAUCAGCCUGGUCCGGGUCCCGGUCCCACACAGAGCCUUAAUAAAGACGCUUUAAAGACAGCUCAUGAAACCCUCUAGUUACUGUAAUACUCGUGCUUUAUCAUCGGUGUUGUGAACUAAUCAUUGGUCAUGUAUUAAUUGUGGUUUUGAGUCUCUUAGUGUCUCUGUAAGUAAACUUUGUGAUUUAAUGAAUAA